rnacentral:lncRNA from 1 species
UAUGAAUUGUUGUUUUUACUAUUGAAUUUGUUUCUGGUUUUCUUCUGCUGGUUUUUCUUUGUCUUUCCAGGAUACUCAAGUGUAAAAGUGAUGGGGUCAGCUGUCGGAGGCCUUACCUGUUUCACAAUAACAGUGGUUCUGGCUGUUAUCUACUUGAAAUGCAAACGGAACAAACUCAAAAGGGAAAGGAAACAGUUCCACCGGUCCAGUAUUUGUAAAGGUGGUCCUUAUCUCAUUCAGGACUCCGCAAAUCGCAGAACGAAUGUACAAAGCCGCAUAGCCUACCAGAACUAUGAGAAUGUCCAGGGGACUCCAUCCCCCCAAAACUGUGUCCAGUUUACCUAUGCAAAUGUCAAUCAAGAUUACCAGAGGCAUACAAAGGAUCAACAAAAUUACAAAAAUGUGCAGGCAACUUCAUCACUGAAACGGCCUUUCCAUCUUGCCAAGGACUGUAAGUAGGCUGAUGUUAAAAGACAAAGAGUGACAGCAGUCCAGGGAUAAUUUCAGAAAGGAAUGGUGGAUAGAAGGGCACAGAUUGUUCAGUCCAUAU